AGAUUGAACGCUGGCGGCAUGCUUUACACAUGCAAGUCGAACGGCAGCACGGGGGCAACCCUGGUGGCGAGUGGCGAACGGGUGAGUAAUGCAUCGGAACGUAUCCUUAAGUGGGGGAUAACGCAUCGAAAGAUGCGCUAAUACCGCAUAAUCUCUGAGGAGAAAAGCAGGGGAUCGCAAGACCUUGCGCUUUUGGAGCGGCCGAUGUCUGAUUAGCUAGUUGGUGAGGUAAAGGCUUACCAAGGCUUCGAUCAGUUAGCUGGUCUGAGAGGACGACCAGCCACACUGGGACUGAGACACGGCCCAGACUCCUACGGGAGCAGCGAGUGGGGAA
rnacentral:rRNA from 1 species